AGCAGUUUUCUCAAGUAUAUCUCAUGGUGCUCAUGAAGAGUCUUCCUAUUUAAUGAGUCGUAUAUGCAUAGCGAUUUACCGUCGAAAUAACUGCAUACCCAGUGCCCGUCUAGUCCUGUAUUACCGCUAUGCAGUAUUUGAACAUGCUUUUCAUUCGAUGAAACCGGCUUAAUUGUGUUUGGCAUUUGAACUCGCCACGUUUCUUGAGGCAAAAAUGUUGAAUAUUUUUCAAUUAAGUGAUUCAAGUGAUCCAUAUGUACGUCAGUCAACCACCCACCAGAUGUUAUUAUAUCUUUGGACGUAGCAUCCAACUUCGGUGUAAGACGAAACACGCUUUUUCGAUUUUCAAGUGCUAUCUUCUCUCUAUUUUUAUUAACAGAUGAAACUUGAGUUGUGAGACAAAUCUUAUCACUAACUAGCUGAUUGUCGUCACGAUUAGACAAGGGAAGAACAGUUACCGAUACCGAUUCAGUGCGGUUGCUGACUUCUUUUGCUGCUUGUUUUGAAACUUCAGCACGUCCUUUUAUUGUGCCGCUUCGCGAAUUUGUCUGCAGAUGGAAUUUGAGGCUUAGGAGAAGAGAUGCCUUUGACUGCUGAAACGCUAUUCGUUCCGUCCGUACAUGGAAACGGUUGGAUUUCAUUAUUUUCGAAUAAUUUUAGCAAAUGUGCCCGCAAAAGGGUUGCAUGAUAUGUUACCCGGUCAGGUUUUUCCCCAUUUAGAAUGGAAAUAGCAAAAGCGAUCGCAAAUACUCCACAAUCAGACCUAUUGUGCUGCCGCUGAACUGUAGGAAAUUGUACAGGAUUCUGUGAGAAGUUGUAGAAGGGAAACAACGCCCUCAAAAGAACCUGUGAUCCUGAUUGGGGAGAGGCUCUUGGUUUGUUGCAAUGGAUCAGGUUCUGACGAAUCGUUCUACAUCUGUACGCUAUUGGGAAGAAGGAAGGUGUUGGUUAUGAUUUGAACUAUGAGGAAAAGAGUUAGUAAUACGACUGACUCAUGAACACUUGUUGGAUUCUUUGACUUUGAUGUGCUGAUAGGAAAUAGUCACAUGGUAGUUGUGAUGAAUCGAUGCAGUAAGUACUAAUGAAAGACGAAGGUCGUAGUUGGCUUACCGAGAACUCCCUAGUGCAUGGUCGGGAUUUCACCUUGCGGCGGACUUUGUUGGAUGUGGACUUUCUUCAAUUGCAUUGUCUUCCGCUGGUCCGGGUUCUUGGAUCUUUGUUGAGCGAGUGGGAUUGAAGAGAAGCUUUGCGUUCGUUACGUUUCUGGAAAGGUACCUUCUCUCACGGAUUUGCAUAGGUGGUGCCGACGAGUUUGUGGGUGUCGGUACACCCAUUCUAAAAUUAUAAUAGAUAAUCAAGACGCAUCAUUGCAAUAAAUAAUAAUUAUAACAGCAGUAAUGAUUUUAUGGCGCAGAAAAUGCCAGUUCAUUGCAAUAUAUUUUUAAAGCGCAAUAUUGAUUCAAUCCUCAACAUUCACACCUCAUUUACACAUGUACAUAAAUAACGUAUCAUUCAAAUUUCUAGCGUCAAGGCAAAUACGAAUUUUUCUGUAUUUUUCUCUCACUACUCUUAGUAGGUUACAAUAUGGACUGAUUGAUGGCUCCAUUAUUCCAUUUUUCAACAUAACUCGUAUUUUGGAAGUCACUGAAUCACGAUACGCUAACGGGACUGGAUAAGAUUGACGAACGAAUGGCUUAUCACUUGAUACCUUAAUAUGGUGCUCGUAUCUAUUAGUGCAUGUUGGCUUGUCAGAAAAUGAAGUUCGGUGUUUAAUCAUUAAAUCAAGUAAUGGUUCAGUAUAUUUAAUAUCCUGUAUCAUAAAUUGAGACGCGAUCAUUCGAAAUUUUUUUUUUUUAAAUUAUGAUCUUCUGCAUCAUCAUCUUGUUGAAUGUUCAUCUGUUAAGUUGGUACUUAUCGGUAAAUCAUCAGGAAUACUGUUCGAGUUAUUAAGGUUUUGAAUUGAAUCUCCAUCUUUAUCAUCAUUAAAAUUUUGAGCAUUCUCAAUUAUAUCAAGAAUUUGACACAUUGUUUUAGGAAUAUCAUCAUCAAUAUUUGAAUUGCACAGAAUAUUAUCAUCGUUCAGAAUAACAUCGUCUCUACUACGCAUGUCAUCCACAUAAUCAACAAUUACCUCCACAUUAUAAUCGAUUUUAUUAAUUAUAACAUCAUCUUUCUUAUGAAUGUUAUUUCAAUUACGAUUACUUUCAUUAAUUAUAACAUCAUCUUCACUGAGCAUGUUAUUCUUAUUAUCAAUUCCAAUAAUCAAUUCAACAACUGUUUAUCAUGCACAAUAAAAUUUCCAUCCCGUUCAGACAUAGAAUUUAAUUCACCUUUUAUCACCCGACAGUUCUUAUAAUUAUUUGGUUUACUAUUCAUAUUUGAUUGAUCAUUACUGACAAUUGUAUAUACGUGACUGCAUCUUCAUAAGAGGACUUUAAUCGAUCUACUGAUCCUCGACUGUACGAAACAAGACGAUCAUCUGCACGUGAGCCAUGAAUUUCAAUAGUUUUAUCAUUGUAAUCCAAUAUAACAUUAUUCACUGUCAACCAAUCAUUCCCUAAUAUAACACUUGACGAUGAUUUAGGCAUCACCAAAAAUGCAUAAGUCAUUCUUUUACCAUCUAUAUGUUACGUCGGUAAACGCUGCCACCAAUUUGUUACGUGGGUAAAAGGUUCACCGGCGUUAUUAUUUAGGUUCGUUCUCGUUUUAUGCAACUAAAUGCAACUGCAGGAAAGGUUUCGAAGUGAUGAAGGUGAUUGACAGUUUGUAGAUGAUUAUGAUGCGAAGUAUAUUUAUUUGCCAAGCUCGGGGAGGCUUACAGGCGUCAUCAGACGUGUUUAAGUCUUGAAGAGUAAUAAUUAUUAUUGACCAGGCUCGGGGAGGCUUACAGGUGUGUUCAAUGAAUAUUUGUAGAGUGACCGAUCCAGGAUUUCGGUGUGUGACUAAGGAACUAUGUCCUGGAAAACCGUACUGUUUGGUUCUAAGUUCAGAAGUGAUUUUGAUAUAAAGAUUAGGAAUAAGGUAAGUUCGGUUUAUGAAAAGAGGGGCUAGGUGGAGUGGGAGUGCACGUGUAGCUGACAGGGUGCAAAUCGGGAAGUCAUUGCACUUGCAUGUCAUGCUGAUGCAAGGUCGAGCAAUGACCGGUGGCAAUUGAAAUAGUAAGGCAGGAAAAAGGAUAUCGGGUUGCAUCCGGUAGAAUUGGUGGCAAUACUUGAUAUGUAUUCGGAAUUGCUAAGAAUGGUUGGGCGAGACGUUUGGACCGAGGUCCGGACGUAACAUAUAUACAUAUCCGCUAAAAUUUGUUUCUUGAUGCUGACUGCAGUUUUUCCAAAUGCAGGAAAUACUCUUACAUUGGUUACCGGUAAUUCAGCGAAAAUAUUGCAACGCGAGAUUUUAUUAUAUAGGGUCUCUGAAAUGCAAGUGAUUUCCUGAAUCGACUAAGGCUUGGACUAAAAUUCCCCCGAUAACUACUGACAAAUGCGGACAUUUUGGAAUUG